GUAACCUCAAGCUUUGCUUGGUAUUGGGCGUCGCGAGUCUCUCGCGCGCCUCAAAGUCUCCGGCUGUUCGGUUCGUCUCCCAGCGUUGUGGCAACUAUUUCGCAGUGGAGUUCGAGUCGUGGCGGCCGUUAAAUCUUUCAAA
rnacentral:misc_RNA from 1 species